rnacentral:piRNA from 1 species
UAGAAAUCAUCCAGAUGAGGUUGCC